rnacentral:rRNA from 1 species
CCCUUAGAUGUCCUGGGCUGCACGCGCGCUACACUGACACUCGCAACGAGUUUACAACCUAGGUCGAGAGGCCCGGGUAAUCUUUGGAGAGGGUGUCGUGAUAGGGAUAGAUGAUUGCAAUUAUUCAUCUUGAACGAGGAAUGCCUUGUAAACGCGAAUCAUCAGUUCGCAUUGAAUACGUCCCUGCCCUUUGUACACACCGCCCGUCGCACCUACCGAUUGAAUGUUUCGAUGAAGACUCGGGAUAGCGGUGCGUCCGUUCGUUCGGGCGCUACGCUAAAACUUGUCUAAAUCUCAACAUUUAGAGGAAGGUGAAGUCGUAACA